GAGGUUAAGCGACUAAGCGUACACGGUGGAUGCCCUGGCAGUCAGAGGCGAUGAAGGACGUGCUAAUCUGCGAUAAGCGCCGGUAAGGUGAUAUGAACCGUUAUAACCGGCGAUUUCCGAAUGGGGAAACCCAGUGUGAUUCGUCACACUAUCAUUAACUGAAUCCAUAGGUUAAUGAGGCGAACCGGGGGAACUGAAACAUCUAAGUACCCCGAGGAAAAGAAAUCAACCGAGAUUCCCCCAGUAGCGGCGAGCGAACGGGGAGGAGCCCAGAGCCUGAAUCAGCAUGUGUGUUAGUGGAAGCGUCUGGAAAGGCGCGCGAUACAGGGUGACAGCCCCGUACACAAAAGCGCAUGUGCUGUGAGCUCGAUGAGUAGGGCGGGACACGUGGUAUCCUGUCUGAAUAUGGGGGGACCAUCCUCCAAGGCUAAAUACUCCUGACUGACCGAUAGUGAACCAGUACCGUGAGGGAAAGGCGAAAAGAACCCCGGCGAGGGGAGUGAAAAAGAACCUGAAACCGUGU
rnacentral:rRNA from 1 species